GAGGUUACUGCUAUCGAGGUUCGACUAAGCCAUGCGAGUCGAAUGUAGCAAUACAUGGCGAACUGCUCAGUAACACGUGGACAACCUGCCCUUAGGACGGGGAUAAACCCGGGAAACUGGGUAUAAUACCCGAUAGGUCUCGAUUGCUGGAAUGCAUCGAGAUUUAAAGCUCCGGCGCCUAAGGAUGGGUCUGCGGCCUAUCAGGUAGUAGUGGGUGUAGCGUACCUACUAGCCUACGACGGGUACGGGUUGUGAGAGCAAGAGCCCGGAGAUGGAUUCUGAGACACGAAUCCAGGCCCUACGGGGUGCAGCAGGCGCGAAAACUUUACAAUGCUGGCAACAGCGAUAAGGGAACCUCGAGUGCCAGGUUACAAGUCUGGCUGUCGAGAUGCCUAAAAAGCAUUUCAUAGCAAGGGCCGGGCAAGACCGGUGCCAGCCGCCGCGGUAACACCGGCGGCUCGAGUGGUAACCGUUAUUAUUGGGUCUAAAGGGUCUGUAGCCGGCCGGAUAAGUCUCUUGAGAAAUCUGGCAGCCUAACUGUCAGGCUUUCAGGAGAUACUGUCUGGCUCGAGGCCGGGAGAGGUGAGAGGUACUUCAGGGGUAGGGGUGAAAUCUUGUAAUCCUUGAAGGACCACCAGUGGCGAAGGCGUCUCACCAGAACGGACCUGACGGCAAGGGACGAAAGCUAGGGGCACGAACCGGAUUAGAUACCCGGGUAGUCCUAGCCGUAAACGAUACUCGCUAGGUGUCGGCCACGGUGCGACCGUUGUCGGUGCCGUAGGGAAGCCGUGAAGCGAGCCACCUGGGAAGUACGGCCGCAAGGCUGAAACUUAAAGGAAUUGGCGGGGGAGCACCACAACGGGUGGAGCUUGCGGUUU
rnacentral:rRNA from 1 species